UACGUAGGGUGCGAGCGUUAAUCGGAAUUACUGGGCGUAAAGCGUGCGCAGGCGGUUUUGUAAGCCAGAUGUGAAAGCCCCGGGCUCAACCUGGGAAUUGCAUUCGAGACUGCGUGGCUAGGGUGCGGAAGAGGGAAGCGGAAUUUCCGGUGUAGCGGUGAAAUGCGUAGAUAUCGGAAGGAACACCAGUGGCGAAAGCGGCUUCCUGGUCCAGCACCGACGUCAGGCACGAAAGCGUGGGGAGCAAACAGG
rnacentral:rRNA from 1 species